rnacentral:rRNA from 1 species
UACGGGGGGGGCAAGCGUUGUUCGGAAUUACCGGGCGUAAAGGGCUCGUAGGCGGCCAACUAAGUCCGACGUGAAAUCCCCAGGCUUAACCUGGGAACUGCGUCGGAUACUGGAUGGCUUGAAUUCGGGAGAGGGAUGCAGAAUUCCAGGUGUAGCGGUGAAAUGCGUAGAUAUCUGGAGGAAUACCGGUGGCGAAGGCGGCAUCCUGGACCGACAUUGACGCUGAUGAGCGAAAGCUAGGGGAGCAAACGGG